rnacentral:rRNA from 1 species
GAUGAACGCUAGCGGCAGGCUUAAUACAUGCAAGUCGUGGGGCAGCAUGAAUGUAGCAAUACAUUUGAUGGCGACCGGCAAACGGGUGCGGAACACGUACACAACCUUCCUAUAAGUGGGGAAUAGCCCAGAGAAAUUUGGAUUAAUACCCCGUAACAUAACGAUGUGGCAUCACAUUGUUAUUAUAGCUUCGGCGCUUAUUGAUGGGUGUGCGGCUGAUUAGAUAGUUGGCGGGGUAACGGCCCACCAAGUCUACGAUCAAUAGCUGAUGUGAGAGCAGGAUCAGCCACACGGGCACGGGGAAACGGGCCCGGCUCCUACGGGAGGCAGCAGUAAGGAAUAUUGGUCAAUGGACGAAAGUCUGAACCAGCCAUGCCGCGUGAAGGAUUAAGGUCCUCUGGAUUGUAAACUUCUUUUAUCUGGGACGAAAAAAGGCUUUUCUAAGUCACUUGACGGUACCAGAUGAAUAAGCACCGGCUAACUCCGUGCCAGCAGCCGCCGUAACAC